AACUGCGAAUGGCUCAUUAAAUCAGUUAUCGUUUAUUUGAUAGUACCUUACUACUUGGAUAACCGUGGUAAUUCUAGAGCUAAUACAUGCUAAAAACCCCAACUUCGGGAGGGGUGUAUUUAUUAGAUAAAAAACCAAUGCCCUUCGGGGCUCCUUGGUGAUUCAUGAUAACUUCUCAGAUCGCAUGGCUUUACGCCGGCGACGGUUCAUUCAAAUUUCUGCCCUAUCAACUUUCGAUGGUAAGGUAUUGGCUUACCAUGGUUUCAACGGGUAACGGGGAAUUAGGGUUCGAUUCCGGAGAGGGAGCCUGAGAAACGGCUACCACAUCCAAGGAAGGCAGCAGGCGCGCAAAUUACCCAAUUCCGAUACGGAGAGGUAGUGACAAUAAAUACUGAUACAGGGCUCUUUUGGGUCUUGUAAUUGGAAUGAGUACAAUUUAAACCUCUUAACGAGGAACAAUUGGAGGGCAAGUCUGGUGCCAGCAGCCGCGGUAAUUCCAGCUCCAAUAGCGUAUAUUAAAGUUGUUGCAGUUAAAAAGCUCGUAGUUGAACCUUUGGCCUGGCUGGCAGGUCCGCCUCACCGCGUGCACUUGUCCGGCCGGGCCUUUUCUUCUGGAGAACCGCAUGCCCUUCGCUGGGUGUGUUGGGGACCAGGACUUUUACUUUGAAAAAAUUAGAGUGUUCAAAGCAGGCCUUUGCUCGAAUACGUUAGCAUGGAAUAAUAGAAUAGGACGUGCGGUCCUAUUUUGUUGGUUUCUAGGACCGCCGUAAUGAUUAAUAGGGACAGUCNGGGGGCAUCAGUAUUCAAUUGUCAGAGGUGAAAUUCUUGGAUUUAUUGAAGACUAACUACUGCGAAAGCAUUUGCCAAGGAUGUUUUNCAUUAAUCAGUGAACGAAAGUUAGGGGAUCGAAGACGAUCAGAUACCGUCGUAGUCUUAACCAUAAACUAUGCCGACUAGGGAUCGGGCGGUGUUUCUAUUGUGACCCGCUCGGCACCUUACGAGAAAUCAAAGUGUUGGUUC
rnacentral:rRNA from 1 species